CCAGUUGCUCCCAAGACAACAAGUCACACCUGGAACUAAUUAACUCCAAGUUAACCAAUUAAUGGCACAGCAUGAAAUGUUCAUGGGGAUGAGGUUAUUUUGAGAAUUCUUUGGUGGAUUGGGAGCCCUUUUUUUUGGAUAUGUUAUAAGUGCUUUAUCCCUGGCUUGUAAUACCUCUGACUGAGCGUUGUUAAUGGCCCUUGGCAUUUUGGUUCUUGUCAACUGGCCCUGCUACAUUAUGAACACCACUGAAGAGAAACUUGUAUAUGUGAACCUGGUGACCUGAUCUCAGCCCAGUCCAAUUCGCUCAAAGCAGGAGUUCAACAGACUACCGUGAACUGAAGGUGCUUUGCAUCAUCAUCAAAGCCUCCAAUUCCCCACGGCUUUGGAGCUGGACCCUCGAGCAGCCUGUGGAUGGGGUGGAGUUCUGGUCCCGCCAGUGCUGUGCCAACUGCAAUGCUGAAUGACUGGCCCACUACAGUCACACCUCCUCCCUGCUGCACCCUGAGGUCAUCUGCACCUCCUACGACUCCUGCCUCCAAUCAAACGAGCCCAGUGAAGCCAUGUCAUUGCUAAUCACUAGAGGGCAGUGAUAUGCCUUCACCUGCUUUGUGAAGCUAGUCACACUUCUACUCCUAUAGCGUCUGCAGUGUGUGUGUGAGAGCAUAAUGUCUGUGGAGGGGGCAGGUGGUGACUCGGCUAACGCCAGGAACCGUGGUAACCUGGAACUGCUUGAUCUUCAGGUUCCUAGUCUGGUACACACGCAGCUGACACAUCGAAUGAAAGCAUCAUCUAAACACGGUAGAAUGCAAUCGCACAAACAAACCAGACAGCUGCUGCUACAACCAGAUGGUGCUGGACAGGGACGCUCAGGGCUGAUGGGGGGACGGGGAGGGGGGGGCAGGGGCAGGGGCAGGGAGGAGGAGGGGCUGUGUCUCCUCUGCUUUCAGCUCAAGACUGGCACGGAUUGUCAGACCAGCAGACCAGCCCAGACUGUGCGACCUGCGUAGACUGUGCGACCUGCACAGACUGAGACCUGUGCAGCUUAUAAGACCUGCACAGAUUGUGAGAUCUGUACAGCAUGUAAGACCUGCACAGACUGUGUGACCAGUGUAGACUGUGAGACCUAUGCAGACUGAGACAUGUGCAGACUGUACGUAACUGAGUAAUAUCUCUGUAAAAUAUAUAACUAUAAUGAAAUAUGACAAACGCACUCUGUAAUAACCAUUAAAUAUAUAGUAAAUGUUACAUAAUAUCAGUUAUUCCUACUUUCAUGCUUAUAUUUUCUCCUGUAUUUGUAAUCUCAAAAUGUGCACACUACAUUUUAAAUACUGAAUUUUUCAGCACAAUUUACAAUAUCGACACAUAAUUUGAAAGUUACAAUUAUUUAUGCAUUGUGUAAUAAAUUAUUUUUUGCUCACGUAUACUAGAAAUGUUUUCCUAUUGUUUUGUAUGAUGUGUGCAAUGUAUAAUGUGUCCUUUUCAAUGUCAUGGCAAGAUAAAUGUGCCCAUUUCUGUGAAGUUCAUGUCAGCUGCUUCAGGAGACCGGACCGUCGUUUGUCUUGUUUAGGUAUUUGACGCCCAAUGAUCGCCCGUGUGUGGAGAGAGCGUGCCACUGGAGCGGGUCACUGCGUCCAGACUGCGUUAAGGAUGGCGCGCGUGCCAGGCCACGGCAAGGUCAUUGGUUACACCCUUAGCUCUCACCGUUUCAGCUUAUCUUAUGCUCAGAGCAGUCCCAUCUGCGGGGCUAAAUGCGGUGUCCAUGGAAACGCGUCGGAACUGCUGGGACACAGCUGUGAGAAGGAGACUUUUUCCUGCACCGCUCUGAAAAAAAUAGAAUACAUUUGCCAUGAAUCUUUCACCCCACAUUCACUCGCAAAACAUUUGCGUCUUUUUCUCCAGCUUGUUUGUUUUGCUGUCAACUAGGCAAAGAGUUAUUUGUUUUUCCCAACUGUUUUAAGACAUUUCCUGAAACUAUGCCUCAUUUUCUCAAAGCUCUGAAGACAAAACACAACUGGUUUACCAUUUUCUUAAAACCACACAAAUCUCUUGCAAGAUGAAACACUGCAUUCAAAACUAUGCCAUCUUUUCUCAAAAUUAAACUUUGAAUCAAAAUGAUUCACACAUGUAAUCAUUUGAAUAGAUCUUACUGACCACCAAUUGUACACGAGUAUAAAAUGAAAAAGACUAAAACCUUUGCUUUAUCAGUUGGCUCGUGUUGUCAGUUUAUACCUCCUAGUUAUGUAUGCUGCAUAUAAUCCAAUUCAACAUUUUUUUCUUUAUUAAUUCUCAAAUUACUGCAUACAGACAGGUUUACAUAGAACAAACACAAUCAAAGGGAAAAAAAACAAUAGAUUUGCCCUACAGUAAACAAUAUCUUACUGUAAAUGAGAUUUAGAUAACUUGUUACUGUUACAUUUUUUUUAAAUCCUCUUUACUGCUUUGUGUGUCAUGUUUCUGUCAGGCCACAGAUUUUCAUUAACAUCACAGGCAGUAUUUCCCUGACCAAGCAGCAGAGUAAAUGUUGUUUGGCAUGACCGAUUCACCUCGUAAAGGAUUCUGUGGUGAUAUCCCCACAUUCCUCAUCCACUGCCAAGAGCGCUCGAGGGGAAUGCGGUCAUAUUCCACCAUCAAGCCAAAAAAAGAUUAUUCUAUGGGGUUUAGGAACCUCGAAUAGGGUGGGAGAAAUAGAACUGAAAAAAGGGUUUUUAAAGAACCAAUUACGGGCCAGUGCAGCCCGAUGUAAACUUAUAUUGUCCCAAAGGUCACCCCAUGGUCAGUUCAGCCAAAAUUUCUGUAAUCUCUUCAGAGGUAUUUGUCAUCUGCUGCCUUCCUUCUUCUCUUGUUCUGACCCUUCAUCUCCCUCUGUUUCUACCUCUCUCAAUGGCAUCAUCCAUUUUCUCCAACACAGGACAAGUCACUUGUGGCCCUUUUGUUCAUGCUGAAGGCUAAUUGGACAAUUAUUGAAUUUCUGUUGGUAACAGUGGAGUUAAUUUAGUUGAAAUGUUGCAUUCAGACACAGCACAUUCAGUGUUUUCCAUGUGAAAGCAGGAAAUUUUAUGUAUGAAGUUUGUGUCAAAUGUAGGGAACUGAGUAGUGUUUUGCAAAAUGUAGCAAGUAAAAUUUCAGUGAAGAGUAAAAAAGUUUUUUUUUUUAAUUCUUGUAUUUUUGCAGAAUUGGUAUAGGCAUUGCACAUCACUGUCAGGUUUUGGUAAUAGUGUCUUUAAAUUUAGUUUCAGUGUGUGAACAGUUGCAAAAAUUGUAAAUUACAUGAUAUGCAAUGGCACGUACUGCAAAUGAAUGAAAGCUUAAAAAAGUCACUAGUAAUCUUUCUAUUUUACU